UAUAUAUACUACAAAUAAUUAAUAACAUAUUAGAUGUGAUUCAAUUUUUAAUACAAACUGGAAAAUCCUAGAAUUGACGGGUUUAGAUCGAUAUUAAUACAAGAUGGUAUACUACAGGUGAAACUCUUAAAUUAACAAUCAAACUACAAGCGUAUAAUCUUAAACACUAAACAAUAUAGAUAAUAUCAACAAAACAUAUACAACUCACAGUUUACUAUACAUUUAAAAUCAAAUAAAAUAAUAUCAUAUAUUUUUUAAUCAUCUUUACAAUAAAAGUUUUUAGUUUAACUAAAAUAUAAGCCUACAUGCGGUAUACUGCAGGUUAAUAUUUAGAUUAUAGAGCUUAUUUGAUCUAAAGACGGGUCAUCAAAGAUUUCCUAAACUGAAGCAAAAUAUACUAAAUAUUCAAAUAUCUACAUGUUACCAAAUUAUAAACAAAUAAGUCAAUUUAAUAUUUUAUAUACGAAAUCAAUUAAAUCUUAAUCACAUAAAAAUUAGCACAAAAAAAAAGUAUUCAACAAUUAAAAUUUUAUCAAAUCUCUGUGUUAUAUAAGUUUUAAUACUAU
rnacentral:sRNA from 1 species